UUUCAUGCCCUCUUGAACGCUACUUUUGUUGGUUUUUUCAGUAAAAAUUUCUCCUUUCCCAUUUCUAACGUCUCAUAACCUCUUGAUUCCAUCACUACUUCUUCAUGAUUUCCGUCACAAUAAUGCAUAUAAUAACAAAAAAGAAAGUGCUAACAAUCAAAAAGUUAGUCAGGUAACGGAACAAACCAUAGUAGCAGAAAAUAUCAAAAUAUUGAAAACGAUUUGAAAGCAAAACCCUAGAAAUCAACCAUUCAAGAGGAGAUAGAAACCCUAACAUCAAAGAGAGGCGAUUCUUACCCAAGAACAAUUUGCGCUGAUCAGCGAAGUCGUGGUACUCCUGAGACUGGGGAAUCGCCGGGGUUACGAUCAUUAACACUAUAAAGAUUACGAUCGCAGCUCCCCACCCAUAAAAUUUCCUUCUCCCCAUCGCGCCCUUUCUCUCUCUCCC
rnacentral:lncRNA from 1 species